GUAUGAACCGGAUAUAGAAGGUCCAUGAAUCUGCGUAUGCGAACUAGUAGCGGUGCGUGGGUAAAAUCACUGGUGAAGCCAGGGGGAAAAAAGCCUUAUUACAACCUAUUUGUUGAGAUAAGUGUUGUUUGCUCUAUAUUAUUAUGUUAGUUAACAUGCCUUGCCACCGUCACAUAUUAGGCCGUCAUUGUAAAUAAUAAUUUGUUCUUUAAAUGGCUUGCCUAGUUAAAUAAAAUGUUAAAUUAAAAAAUGUAAUACAAAUAAACAACGUUACCGGGAGCGCGGCGCAGAGGGAAUGUCAACCUACACAAAGAAGGACGAGAUUGAACUUCAUAGAAUUUCUCCCCUUAAACCAUAUUCGGAAGGGACUAGUAUUGCUAUAGAACGUCGGUUAUGUAAUUAUUACUCCAGCAUGUCUGUUUUUCAAAAAGACGAUUCCGACGGGAUUAGUUUUACCAAACUGCCCGUCAUUCUUUUUUUCCGCAUUCACAAUUGACCAUUAUGACGGAAGCUUGGAGGCUCUUCUAGGUGUGAAGAUAUUUAAUAUGUCUAGGGACAUCCUAAUAUUGGCCUAAUGGCCUUCAGUUCGGAGAAAGUCCAAAUAAUAAUGCAUAUCAAUAAGAACCAUAAACUGUAACCUACGCAGACAUUUAAUUAACUGACAUAUUUGUCAAUGUAUCAAUUUAUUGACACGAUAUCGUCCACUUCAUCUUUUAAAAGAGAAGAAUGGCACUAGGAAGGUUGAUAUAUUACAGAUCAUUCAUCUGUAGGCUAUGUGCAUAGCACUUUGUUUUAAGCAUCAAUUUGUUCUUACCCAAACUGAGUGCAGCACCUGUUCAACUGUAAUAUCUCUCAAAACACGGUGAUGAUGAUUUGCACGGGAUAAGUAUUAUCAGAGGACCUUGCAGUUUGUAAAAAAAAAAAUGUUUUUUUAGGGCUGAGAUUAUAACCUUCCGGCCAAGUAAAAAUUACUGACGUGGCAGAUUCGGACGGGACUAAAAUUACAAAUGUGGUGAUUUAUGCUCGUGCACAUAAUUAUAUUAACUGAGCUCCCCCAGUAAAACUCUUCCAGUUAACACUAUCAAUAUUUCCCUUUACUGUGGGAAUUGUGAUCGAAUCAAUGCAAAAUUAGCCACUUUCAAUGCAACAUACCGAAACAUAACAAGCUAUGCAAGCAAUUUUGUUGUAGGCAGAACGCAUCGGAAUAUGAUUCUAUUGCAUCUAUUUAAAAAAAAAAAAACGGUGUGGCAGAACCAAUCAGAGCUGCAAACGGCCUAUAUGCAAAUAGACCAUUGCCAUAUAUGGAUCUGUGCCAUUUUCUUUGAACUGGACUGUGUAAACAGCAUGAUAGGUCAUGAGUAAAUGUGCUUGUUUUGAGAUCAUCAAACAAACAUGCAUCAAACAACACAAUAUUUUGAGUCACCUCCUUAUCUGAAGGACAAGUGGAUAAACAGGUUCAUAUCAAUCCCUGCAUGUUUUUUUCAAAAGUCUCAUGGAAUGUAGGCCUACGUUGAACACAACACAAUGGCUGCUACUGUAGGCUGAAUGAUAGAACAGCUAUUUCCAUGUUAAAAUGUUAUGGGAUGCAUCUUCAAAAAAUAGUUUGUGGGAGGCCACUCUGGUAGGCUUACAUUAUUAUCAAAUAUCCAUAGUAGCCGACUUGACCACUGUCUGAAACUGUAAUUAAAAGUGGGUACAGCCUCAGUGUUCACAGUAAACGGGCGCUGGAAGUUGCACAGAAUGUUCACAAUGUUCAAGUUUGAGCUCAGCAGACUUGAAAUUUGCUCAGUGCCAGGAAAACUAUUAAGGGAACAUUGCAUUUAUCCCUAAGGCUGUGACAAUAAGAAGACACAGUGGCAGAAUAAAUUCAACCACACCUUUUUUUCAUUACAAAACUGGAGAGCAACAUCUGUCCGGUGGAGUCCACAAAGCAUAUUGCAUGUAACAAACAGUUACAUGACCUACAUCAUGGUCAAUCAAGUUCAUGUUGCCGACACUUAACACUUUUUUCGUUACUACAUGAUUCCACAUAUGUUAUUUCAUUGUUUUGAUGUCUUCACUACUAUUCUACAAUGUAGAAAAUACAAAAAAAUAAAGAAAAACCCUUGAAUGAGUAGGUGUGUCCAAACUUUUGACUGGUACUGUAUGUGAUAAGCAAAAUUGACACAGUUACAAUAGACAUCCACCAAAUUGAUGUUACCUGAAUUUUGUUAGCUCACAAUAAACACAACAGCUCAAUGCUGAGUAAAGAAGGUUAGUACUGUACAGGGAUGGUGAAGAGUAUUUAAACCAUCCUGCAGAAGUAAUUGGCAACCAGAAGGGGGCUCUCGUGUCACACUAGUGGUUGCCAAACACGUCCAUGCUGUGGUGGCCCACCUAAAGCCUUUGAAUAUAUCUUUCUGCGGUUUACUAACUAAACAAAAGCAAUGUUGUUCAGCACAAAUACAACAGUCUCACUCUACUCCACCAACAGGUUAGUGCAGUGUUUCUUCAUCCUGAUCCUGGGGAAUCAAAGGGGUACACUUUGUAUUGUUUCCCCUAGCACUACACACCUGAUUCCACUAAUCAAAGGUUUGAUAAUGAGUUGAUUAAGAAACAUUAGGUUACUAUUUUCACUAUAGUCCUCCUUUGAUUGAUUUGAAAUGUACUGUCUGUUACCAUUUGAGGUAAUGUACACCUUGCGUUCAUAUGGUUACGUGUGUGUGUGUAUAUGUCUAUCAUAACCUGUUGUGGUUGUGUGUGUAGGGCGGAGAGGAAGAGAGCCAGUGUGAAGCAGCAGAGUCUCAGCAGCAACCUUUUCAUCCUGGAAAGAACGGACCAAUCAGGACAGACAUAUUUCAGUCCCGCCCCUCAGGUCCAGGAAGUAUGUCAGGAGGUGGAUGAGUUCAUCUAUGUGGCCAAUGCAGAGACAGGAAGAGGUAACACCAAGACUCCAAAACAUUCCUCAUACUUGCUCCUAUUCCUAGGCCCUUGUUGCCAGGCAGAUAAUCUUGUCAAGCUAACUGACUGCUGCGCUCACAGAAUAUGAGCUAUCGCAACAUCAGGCUGGUUCCACCAGGCUACCUUCCAGGACCAGAUCCAGGGAAAGAUCAGGCUGGUUCCACCAGGCUACCGUCCAGGACCAGAGCCAGUGAAAGGUGGUGAGUGGGAGGCGUCUCAGAUCCAAGCAUUGGUGAACCCUGCCUAGUAUUCGUCCUCCAGAACCCUCCUGGUCCUGACUUUUGUGUCCAGAGAGGAACCAGACCCAAUCAGAACCACUAGUCGCAAUACUGCUAGAUUAAAGACCAGGACCCCCAGUGUGGAUAUUGCACAGAGGCUCUGCCUGUCCCUGCUGCCCAACCCCUGGAUGGUCUGUCUUUCUGUCUAUGUAGUCUGUCUGUCUGUGUCUGUCUGUCUGUCUGCUGGGGUGCUCUGGUCUCAGGCUGUAGCUAGCUGUCAAGGAACUACCUUCAGCACAAAUGCUUCUGAAGGAAUGUUCUACCUCUGAUGUGCCUUGUUUCAAUGAAUCGCAAAAGAAAAAGUCAUUAUUGGAUGAGCGCAGACUGGAAGGAGAGGAGACAAAGAGAGGAAGUCAUUCAAAGUAUUGAGAUCCACCCCUCUUGCUCAGGCAAUGGUACAACAUGCUACUCCAAGUUCUCUGUGGUUAUUUUCCUCUGAGGUCAGCAUUGGCACACUAAACUGAAUUCACAUCUGUCUGAUGGGGGGGAGGACAAUGUUCCUAUUUACACCACAACGGGGCAGGCCUGCUCCGGCUUCUCAGGGCCAGGGGAAGCUGUAGAAUGUAGACUAGUUGCAGCUUGGUUUACUACGCUUUGGGCGUGGGGGUUGCGCUGUGACCCCCCGAAAACAACUAAAAAUGAAAACUCAAACCACAAAUUUCUAAACACAAUCAAGAAUGUACUGUAGCAACCCUGUGUUUAUAAGCACCAAUAUCAACUCUACCACAUGAGCACGCUGGGCUAUGGCCGGAAGGUUGGCGGUUUGAAUACCACCGCGGACAAGCUCACUUUCCCUGCCUGUUAACUGUUGAUAAAGUAUGGAUGUUGUUGUCUGAUACAAUACAUUAGAGCUGGAAUCCUUAAUAGUGAAAGUGCCACAUCCGUUUCGGAUAUUACAACAGCAAAGAAGUUACUGCAAACAACAAACACCCCCCCCCCUUGGACAUUUUUGCAGAAUAUGUGCUGCAGGUAUAGCAUGCUGCUCAACACUCCUCACCUUCAUUUCGUCUACAAACCAAAACAAUAACAAAGGCCCUGGGACAGCCGCGGCACUGUUUCCCCUAAUGUGGGACCGUGACCAAAUAACUAAACCCUGUUCAAUUACAGUACUUGAAAAUUGCACCAGUCUUUUCUAUUACUUGUAAGUUCUCACCGACCAACCAAUGCUUUGGUAGGUGACCGUGAAACAGUAGACGUUCUGCUCUGAACUAUCCUUUUUUAUUUUUUUACUUCACCUUUAUUUAACCAGGUAGGCCAGUUGAAAGAAGUUCUCAUUUACAACUGCGACCUGGCCAAGAUAAAGCAAAGCAGUGUGACAAAAACAACAACACAGAGUUACACAUGGGAUAAACAAACGUACAGUCAAUAACACAAUAGAAAAAUCUGAAUACAGUGUGUGCAAAUUAAAUAAGGAGCUAAGGCAAUAAAUAGGCCAUAGUGGCGAAGUAAUUACAAUUUAGCAAUUAACACUGGAGUGAUAGAUGUGCAGAUGAGGAUGUGCCAUUAGUACUACUGGUGUGCAAAAGAGCAGAAAUACAAAAACAAAUAUGGGGAUGAGGUAGGUAGUUGGUUGGAUGGGCUAUUUACAGAUGGGCUGUGUGCAGCUGCAGUGAUUGGUAAGCUGCUCUGACAGCUGAUGCUUAAAUUUAGUGAGGGCGAUAUGAAUCUCCAGCUUCAGUGAUUUUUGCAAUUCGUUCCAGCCAUUGGCAGCAGAGAACUGGAAGAAAAGGUGGCCAAAGGGGGUGUUGUCUUUGGGAUGACAGUGAAAUAUACCUGCUGGAGCGCGUGCUACGAGUGGGUGUUGUUAUGGUGACAAGUGAGCUGAGAUAAGGCGGAACUUUACCUAGCAAAGACUUAUAGAUGCAGCAAUUUGUUGAAGAGCAUGCAUUUCCUUUUACUAGCAUGUAAGAGCAGUUGGAGGCCACGGAAGGAGUGUUGUAUGGCAUUGAAGCUAGUUUGGAGGUUUGUUAACACAGUGUCCAAAGAAGGGCCAGAUGUAUACAGAAUGGUGUCGUCUGUGUAGAGGUGGAUCAAAGAAUCACCAGCAGCAAGAGCGACAUCAUUGAUGUAUACAGAGAAAAGAGUCGUCCCGGGAAUUGAACCCUGUAGCACCCCUAAACAGACUGCCAGAGGUCCAGACAACAGGCUCUCCGAUUUGACACACUGAACUCUAUCUGAGAAGUAGUUAGUGAACCAGACGAGGCAGUCAUUAGAGAAACCAAGGCUGUUGAGUCUGCCGAUAAGAAUACGGUGAUUGACAGAUUCGAAAGCCUUGACCAGGUCGAUGAAGACGGCUGCACAGUACUGUCUUUUAUUGAUGGCGGUUAUGAUAUAGUUUAGGACCUUGAGCGUGGCUGAGGUGCACCCGUGACCAGCUCGAAAACCGGAUUGCAUAGUGGAGAAGGUACGGUGGGAUUCGAAAUGGUCGGUGAUCUGUUUGUUAACUUGGCUUUCAAAGACUUUAGAAAGGCAGGGCAGGAUGGAUAUAGAUCUGUAACAGUUUGGGUCUAGAGUGUCUCCCCCUUUGAAGAGGGGGAUGACCGCGGCCACAUUCCAAUCUUUAGGAAUCUCAGACGAUACGAAAGAGAGGUUGAAUAGACUAGUAAUAGGUCUUGCAACAAUGGUGGCGGAUAAUUUUAGAAAGAGAGGGUCCAGAUUGUGGAGAGACAGUGGGUUUGGCGACGAAUGUGUAGCGAGGACCAGCCAACGAGAGCAUACAGGUCACAGUGGUGGGUAUAUGGGGCUUUGGUGACAAAACGGAUGGCACUGUGAUAGACUGCAUCCAAUUUGCUGAGUAGAGUGUUGGAGGCUAUUUUGUAAAUGUGUGACGAUGUGCGCAACUGGUUAAAGGUGAGUCAGGUUCAGGAGAGCAGAGAUGGGCGCACUUUAUUCGUGCCCAAGGAAAACAGCGAUAACUCCCAAUGUACACAAACAGUACAAUAAACAAAACACACGGGUCAAACACACACCCGGCGCAAACCAGCCAAAUGCGAACCACACGUAACAAACAAACAAUUCCACACACGGACAUUGGGGGAACAGAGGGUAAUAUACAUUUAGUCGGAUGAGGGGAUGUGAACCAGGUGUGCGGAAAAGCAAGAAAAAACAAAUGGAAAAUGAAAGGUGGAGCGGCGAUGGCUAGAAGACCGGUGACGUCGAACGCCGCCCGAACAAGGAGAGGGACCGACUUCGGUGGAAGUCGUGACAAAAUGUCAUCGCCAAAGUCAAGGAUCGGUAGGAUAGUCAGUUUUACGAGGGUAUGUUUGGCAGCAUGAGUGAAGGAGGCUUUGUUGGGAAGUAGGAAGCCGACUCUAGAUUUAAUUUUGGAUUGGUGAUGCUUAAUAUGAGCCUGGAAGGAGAGUUUACAGUCUAGACAGACACAGGUAUUUAUAGUUGUCCACAUUAGUCAGAACCAUCCAGAGUAGGGAUGCUAGUCGGGUGCGGGCAGCAAUUUGUUGAAGAGCAUGCAUUUCCUUUUACUAGCACGUAAGAGCAGUUGGAGGCCACGGAAGGAGUGUUGUAUGGCAUUGAAGCUAGUUUGGAGGUUUGUUAACACAGUGUCCAAAGAAGGGCCAGAUGUAUACAGAAUGGUGUCGUCUGUGUAGAGGUGGAUCAAAGAAUCACCAGCAGCAAGAGCGACAUCAUUGAUGUAUACAGAGAAAAGAGUCGUCCCGGGAAUUGAACCCUGUAGCACCCCUAAACAGACUGCCAGAGGUCCAGACAACAGGCUCUCCGAUUUGACACACUGAACUCUAUCUGAGAAGUAGUUAGUGAACCAGACGAGGCAGUCAUUAGAGAAACCAAGGCUGUUGAGUCUGCCGAUAAGAAUACGGUGAUUGACAGAUUCGAAAGCCUUGACCAGGUCGAUGAAGACGGCUGCACAGUACUGUCUUUUAUUGAUGGCGGUUAUGAUAUAGUUUAGGACCUUGAGCGUGGCUGAGGUGCACCCGUGACCAGCUCGAAAACCGGAUUGCAUAGCGGAGAAGGUACGGUGGGAUUCGAAAUGGUCGGUGAUCUGUUUGUUAACUUGGCUUUCAAAGACUUUAGAAAGGCAGGGCAGGAUGGAUAUAGAUCUGUAACAGUUUGGGUCUAGAGUGUCUCCCCCUUUGAAGAGGGGGAUGACCGCGGCCACAUUCCAAUCUUUAGGAAUCUCAGACGAUACGAAAGAGAGGUUGAAUAGACUAGUAAUAGGUCUUGCAACAAUGGUGGCGGAUAAUUUUAGAAAGAGAGGGUCCAGAUUGUCUAGCCCAGCUGAUUUGUAGGGAUCCAGAUUUUGCAGCUCUUUCAGAACAUCAGUUGUCUGGAUUUUGGUGAAGGAGAAGCGGAGGGGGGGCUUGGGCCAGUUGCUGCGGGGGGUGCAGAGCUGUUGGCCGGGGUUGGAGUAGCCAGGUGGAAAGCGUGGCCAGCUGUAGAGAAAUGCUUAUUGAAAUUCUCGGAUUUAUCAGUGGUGACAGUGUUUCCUAGCCUCAGUGCAGUGGGCAGCUGGGAGAAGGUGCUCUUAUUCUCCAUGGACUUUACAGUCCUACAAUUUUUUGUAAUUAGUGCUGCAGGAUGCAAAUUUCUGUUUGAAAAAGGUAGCCUUUGCUUUCCUAACUGGCUGUGUAUAUUGGUUCCUGACUUCCCUGAAAAGUUGCAUAUCGCGGGGACUAUUCGAUGCUAGUGCAGUACGCCACAGGGUGUUUUUGUGCUGGUCAAGGGAGUCAAGUCUGGAGUGAACCAAGGGCUAUAUCUGUUCUUAGUUCUACAUUUUUUGAAAGGGGCAUGCUUAUUUAAGAUUGUGAGGAAAGCACUUUUAAAGAACAACCAGGCAUCCUCUACUGGCGGGAUGAGGUCAAUGUCCUUCCAGGAUACCCGGGCCAGGUCGAUUAGAAAGGCCUGUUCGCCUAAGUGUUUUAGGGUGCAUUUUACAGUGAUGAGGGGUGGUCGUUUGACCGCGGACCCAUAGCGGACGCAGGCAAUGAUGAACAGCAGAGGUGUAUUUAGAGGGCAAGUUGGUCAGGAUGAUAUCUAUGAGGGUGCCCAUGUGUACAGAUUUGUGGUUGUACUUGGUAGGUUCCUUGAUAAUUUGUGUGAAAUUGAUGGCAUCUAGCUUAGAUUGUAGGACGGCCGGGGUGUUAAGCAUAUCCCAGUUUAGGUCACUUAACAGUACGAACUCUGCAGAUAGAUGGGGGACAAUCAAUUCACAUAUGGUGUCCAGGGCACAGCUGGGGGCUGAGGGGGCUCUAUAACAAGCAGCAACAGUGAGACUUAUUUCGGGAGAGAUGGAUUUUUAAAAGUAGAAGCUUGAACUGUUUGGGCAUAGAGAUAGUAUAACAGAACUUUGCAGGCUAUCUCUACAGUAGAUUGCAACUCUGCCCACUUUAGCAGUUCUAUCUUGACAGAAAAUGUUGUAAAUGGGGAUGGACAUUUCAAAACUUUUGGUGGCUAUCCUAAGCCAGGAUUCAUACACGGCUAGGACAUCAGGGUUGAUGGAGUGUGCUAAAGCAGUGAAUAAAGCAAACUUAGGGAGGAGGCUUCUGAUGUUAACGUCACAUAUUCACAUCAGAUACAGUAUGUGCAGACAGGAAACGGAGGGCCACGUAUCCCAUUUUCUAUCCAUGCCCAUUGUUAAAAUAAGCAACUGAUCUGUGCUUUACUCAAAGUUGGUCCCUCCCUCACUCUUAUACUGUCAACUGUAAUAGGAUAAUGUGCUUUAAUGCCUGUCUUUUCUUCUAGUCUCCUAGGCAACAAAAUUGAGAAUAUUCUCCCUAACCACCUCUUUUCUGAAAACCCCGCCUCAAAAGGUUCCUGAAUGGUAAUAAUCAUCGUCACGGAAAUAUAUAUUUAGAAUGCAGUCAUGAUUGGUGCCAUUUGGGUGCAUUACGUCCUGUGUGAAUAGUGGAGAGAGAUGGGAGCAGUGUUCUCUUGUCUACAUGGUGUUAUCAGACUGGGCUUAAUGGAGGAAGAGUGAGGGCUUUGCUGUGACACAGCCGCCCCUUUCAUCCAACAGGCUGCUCUAAACAGGAUGUACCUCCCUGCUUCUCCCUCUACUCAGCCACACACCCACCCAGUCAGCUGGCUGUUUUUGGGAUGUGGAUGUUUGUGAUUCUUUGAUGAUUAAGUUAAACCAAACGAACACAAAAUACUACCAUAUUUGCAUUCCAAAUAAUAUAGAACAUUUUACUAAUCGCCCACUCAGUCUUUUCUUUAGUUUCAGUUCAUCUCCAAUUAUAUAUUUACAACCUCUGUAGGAGGUUGAUUUCACACUGGCAAACUCAUUAGUGAUCCCUGAUGUGAAAGCGUGUGUGUGCAAACUCCUCCUGCGUGUGUGUUCCCUUUAGCGUGGGAACCUACCAUCAGAGCAGGUAUGCAGGGAAUAACAAUGACAAAUCCCUACUAUGUAUUACUCGCUGACUGUCUGCCGCGGCCCAGUAGGAGAGGAACGUCUGCUCUGCCUCUACCCACAGAGAGGGAACUGUAGAUGGGGUGGGGCUGCAUGGGGGAUUUAGUUAGACUGCUUUGAUGAAACUAGGGCUGGGCCUGGAGCAGCGUGAGACUGUACACUUGGGGGGUGGAGCUGGAGCAGCGUGAGACUGUACACGUGGGGGGUGGAGCUGGAGCAGCGUGAGACUGUACACUUGGGGGGUGGGGCUCGUUCAAGGGACAUGUUCUGGAGGGGGGAUGGGCUCCAGAUCAUCUUAUUCUGGCGUCCUUCCCAGUGGAAAAGGGCCUCAAGGGUGAGUGACUUCUUGUGGAGUGGAGUGUUUGUGUGUGUGUGAGAGUGUAUACGUGAGUAUGCUGAUAUGCUGAUUCAUUGAUUUAUUAUGUUUCUCUCCAGGGUUUGGUUUGUGUGGCAUCCCAGAGAAUCUUGUCCACUGUUUAUUAAAGACUGGCGUGAUGAGCCUCACAACCGUCAGCAACUAUACAUGAAAUGGUCCCUUCAAACAGACAGCGUGGUGAAGAAGGAGCAACAGCGCCUCUUCAACCUCAGGAGGCUAAAGACAUUUGUAUUGGCCCCUAAGACCCUCACAAACUUCUACAGAUGCACCAUUAAGAGCAUCCUGUCGGGCUGUAUCACAGCCUGGCUCGGCAAUUGCACCGUUCACAACCGCAGGUCUCUCUAUUGUGUGGUGCAGUCAGCCCAACGCAUCACCGGGGGCACACUGCCUGCCCUCCAAGACAUCUACAGCACCCGGUGUCACAGGAAGGUCAAGAAGCUCAUCAAGGACCUCAGCCACCCGAGCCAUGGCCUGUUCAUCUGAAGGUGUAGACAGUACAGGUGCAUCAAAUCUGGGACCAAGAGACUGAGAAACAGCUUCUAUCUCCUGGCCAUUAGACUGUUAAACUGUUACCACUAGCCGGCCUCCUCCCAGUACUCUGCCAUGAACUUAGUCACUGUUACAAGCCAGCUACCACCCGGUACUCUACCCUGCACCUUAGAGACUGAUGCCCUAUGUACUCAGUCAUCGAACACUGGUCACUUUAAUAAUGUUUACAUACUGUUUUACCCACUUUGUAUGUAUAUACUGUAUUCUAGUCAUGGCUCAUCCUAUAAUAACCUAGUUUUUUAUUUUUCUGGAUUGUGUGUGUAUUUGUCUUAUUUUCAUUGCUGGGUGUUACUGCACUGUUGUAGCUAUAAACACAAGCAUUUCGAUGCACCUGCGAUAACAUCUGCAAAUCUGUGUACUUGACCAAUAAACUUUGAUUUGAUUUUACUUGAGUUGAAGUUCCGUGCUAGGCCGGAAUCACCGGGUGGAACAUUUGGGCUGUAUUUGGAGGUGACACAAUCUGAGCAGUGUUGCACAGCUUAACCAAACACAGCCAGGGAUCCCUCGGUCAGUUCCAGGAGAGUGGGAUGAGUAAAAUACAGAAAAAAGAGAGAGUGCGAAUGAAAGGGAGGGAACGGGGACCGUGAAAGAGCAAAGCACAAUGAAGGAAAGAACAGAGAGACAGAAAGAUACCAUUGAGAGAAAGAUGCCAUUGAGACAGAAAGAUGAUAUUGAGAUAGAAAGAUGCCAUUGAGAGAAAGAUGCCAUUGAGACAGAAAGAUGAUAUUGAGACAGAAAGAUGCCAUUGAGACAGAAAGAUGCCAUUGAGACAGAAAGAUGCCAUUGAGACAGAAAGAUGCCAUUGAAAGAUGCCAUUGAGACAGAAAGAUGAUAUUGAGAUAGAAAGAUGCCAUUGAGACAGAAAGAUGCCAUUGAGACAGAAAGAUGCCAUUGAGACAGAAAGAUGCCAUUGAGACAGAAAGAUGCCAUUGAGCCAGAAAGAUGCCAUUGAGAUAGAAAGAUGCCAUUGAAAGAUGCCAUUGAGACAGAAAGAUGCCAUUGAGACAGAAAGAUGCCAUUGAGACAGAAAGAUGCCAUUGAGACAGAAAGAUGCCAUUGAAAGAUGCCAUUGAGACAGAAAGAUGCCAUUGAGACAGAAAGAUGAUAUUGAAAGAUGCCACUGAGACAGAAAGAUGCCAUCGAGACAGAAAGAUGCCAUUGAGACAGAAAGAUGCCAUCGAGACAGAAAGAUGCCAUCGAGACAGAAAGAUGCCAUCGAGACAGAAAGAUGCCAUUAAGACAGAAAGAUGACAUUGAGACAGAAAGAUGCCACUGAGACAGAAAGAUGCCAUUGAGACAGAAAGAUGAUAUUGAGACAGAAAGAUGAUAUUGAAAUAGAAAGAUGCCAUUUCCAUGAUUGCAACAGACAGUUCAAAAUGGUGACUAUACAGUAUAAGACGUUAACCACUCUUGCCUCGUCUCUCUGUCUCUUUUCCCUGAGUCAAUGGGGCCAGACCAGGUGUGUUAUGUCAAGUAGGAAAUGUAUUGGACAGUGAAGUAUUUCCUGUACAUUCUCAAUAGUCAUAUUUGACCCCUUGCCUAUUUUAGCUGGCUUUCUCUGAGUAUGUUUUCUCAAUGUUGAAUGAAGAUACUGUAGUACAUAGUGAUAUGUUAACAAUGGUUUGAUGAGAGUUUGUUUAAAAUGAAAUGGAAUAAAUAUAAAUAUAAGUACAAGUCAAA